rnacentral:rRNA from 1 species
UACGUAGGUGACAAGCGUUGUCCGGAUUUAUUGGGCGUAAAGAGCUCGCAGGCGGUUGUUCAAGUCGAGUGUGAAAGCCCCCGGCUCAACUGGGGAGGGUCACUCGAUACUGAUCGACUCGAAGGCAGGAGAGGGUAGUGGAAUUCCCGGUGUAGUGGUGAAAUGCGUAGAUAUCGGGAGGAACACCAGUGGCGAAGGCGACUACCUGGCCUGUUCUUGACGCUGAGGCGCGAAAGCUAGGGGAGCAAACGGG